rnacentral:rRNA from 1 species
CCUACGGGAGGCUGCAGUGGGGGAUCUUCCGCAAUGGGCGAAAGCCUGACGGAGCAACGCCGCGUGAUCGAAUGAAGGCCUUCGGGUUGUAAAGAUCUGUUGACAGGGACGAAUAAGAAAGGCGAAUAGGUGUGUGUAUGAGGUUACCUGUUUAGAAAGCUCCGGCUAACGACGUGCCAGCAGCCGCGGUAAUACGUAGGGAGCAAGCGGUGGCCGGAAUUAGGGGGCGUAAAGGGCGCGUAGGUGGGCGCUUAAGUCAGGUUUGAAAACUCCGGGCUCAACCUGGAGACUGCACUUGAAACUGGGUGUCUUGAGGGCAGGAGAGGAAAGUGGAAUUCCUAGUGUAGCGGUGAAAUGCGUAGAUAUUAGGAGGAACACCAGUGGCGAAGGCGACUUUCUGGACUGUACCUGACGCUGAGGCGCGAAAGCGUUGGUAGCGAACGGGAUUAGAUACCCCUGUAGUC